rnacentral:misc_RNA from 1 species
CAGAGCCAAGAGAUCCAUUGUUGAAAGUUGUAACGAUUGUUUGUAUCAGAACAGGUAAUGCUAGAUGCAGAAGAGUUUGAUAAGUUCCAGCGGCAGGUUGCCCCACCGAAGGAGAACGAAAGGUGCUCGUAAAAAAAGGAUUCAGAAAUGUGGCGCGUUAGAGUGUUACCCCUACCGCCCGGGAGAGAGGACGCCAGAAGACGCCCACGCCCCCGGGGGCCGCAACCACACCUGGUGAGAUGGAUAAUGAUCCUU